UAGUGGGGUACCAGGUAGAGGCGUGGUUCCCCUGGGUCCUGAUGGUAGUAGGUACCAGGUAGAGGGCUGGGUUCCCCUGGGUCCUGAUGGUAGUAGGUACUAGGUAGAGGGCUGGGUUCCCCUGGGUCCUGAUGGUAUAGUAGGUACCAGGUAGAGGGGGGGUUCCCCGGGUCCUGGUAUGGUAGUAGGUACCAGGUAGAGGCUGGGUUCCCCUGGGUCCUGUGGUAGUAGGUACCAGGUAGAGAGCUGGGUUCCCCUGGGUCCUGAUGGUAGUAGGUACCAGGUAGAGGGCUGGGUUCCCCUGGGUCCUGAUGGUAGUAGGUACCAGGUAGAGGGCUGGGUUCCCCUGGGUCCUGAUGGUAGUGGGGUACCAGGUAGAGGGCUGGGUUCCCCUGGGUCCUGAUGGUAGUAGGUACCAGGUAGAGGGCUGGGUUCC
rnacentral:lncRNA from 1 species